CGGCCAGCCCGGCACGGCUGUGGCGUCCCUGGACGGUUUCCUGGGUGCCUGGGCGCUGGAAUUGUAGCGGCAUGCAAACCCAUGCUAGCGAGUGUUCCUCCUUAGCAGCCCUGGUCCGCCUGAGACGGGCUGUGUUCAGGCUUUGAGACAAAACAGCUAAUUAUUUUAUGGUUAAAAAGCUAUUAUAUGACAUUUACCAAGGAGAAAACAAAAAGAAGGAGAAUGACAGUGGGAAGAUAAUGGUGAUAAGCAGAGACAAAGGAGAUAGAAAAGCUGAAGCAUAAAACCAGAAAGCUGCACUCAAGAGUCCACCAAACGUCUGUUGUAUAGGUAGAAAUAACCUGAAGUCCGGACUCUUAUGCUCCAAUGUUAGUAUUCAUAACUAAUCUGUAUUAUCUCCUAGUUGAAAUAUAAGGAAAUCAAGAUUUUUAUUUUCAUUACAUUUGUUUAAAUAGAAAAUAUUCCUGCUAAGAGAGGACCCUGUGGUAAAUACAACUGAGA